rnacentral:tRNA from 1 species
GGGUGGCCGAGCAGGAUGGCAAAUGUGUAGCCUUGUUUACGGGGCGAAGCGCCCCCCCA